AUUGAACGCUGGCGGCAGGCCUAACACAUGCAAGUCGAACGAGUGGCGGACGGGUGAGUAAUGUCUGGGAAACUGCCCGAUGGAGGGGGAUAACUACUGGAAACGGUAGCUAAUACCGCAUACCAUCGGAUGUGCCCAGAUGGGAUUAGCUUGUAGGUGGGGUAACGGCUCACCUAGGCGACGAUCCCUAGCUGGUCUGAGAGGAUGACCAGCCAAACUGGGAUUGAGACAUGGGCCAGACUCCAACGGGAGGCGGCAGUGGGGAAGAUGAGACAAUGGGCGCAAGCCUGAUGCAUCAAUGCCGGGGGUAUGAAGAAGGCCUUCGGGUUGUAAAGUACUUUCAGCGGGGAGGCGUUACCCGCAGAAGAAGCACCGGCUAACUCCGUGCCAGCAGCCGCGGUAAUAC
rnacentral:rRNA from 1 species